rnacentral:rRNA from 1 species
GACGAACGCUGGCGGCGUGCUUAACACAUGCAAGUCGAACGAAGUGCGAUGGAAGCUUGCUUCUCUCAAUCUUAGUGGCGAACGGGUGAGUAACGCGUAAUCAACCUGCCCUUCAGAGGGGGACAACAGUUGGAAACGACUGCUAAUACCACAUACGAUCUAACCACGGCAUCGAGGAUAGAUGAAAGGUGGCCUCUACAUGUAAGCUAUCACUGCAGGAGGGUAGUGCGUCGGAUUAGCUAGUUGGAGAGGUAACGGCCCACCAAGGCGAUGAUCAGUAGCCGGCCUGAGAGGAUGAACGGCCACAUUGGGACUGAGACACGGCCCAGACUCCUACGGGAGGCAGCAGUGGGGAAUCUUCCGCAAUGGACGAAAGUCUGACCGAGCAACGCCGCGUGAGUGAUGACGGCCUUCGGGUUGUAAAGCUCUGUUAAUCGGGACGAAAGGCCUUCUUGCGAAUAGUUAGAAGGAUUGACGGUACCGGAACAGAAAGCCACGGCUAACUACGUG